CUACUACAAAAAUGCACAUACAUAACACUUCAUACAUAACGGUUUUUUUAAAAAACCGUUAUGUAUGAGCGCAUUUUUGGAAUAGAUAACGGUUUUUACAAAAAAUCGUUAUCUAUGUAGUGUUGUCCAUACACUUAGAUAUCGGUUUGAGUUAAACCGUUAUGUUUGUGCGUUAUCUAUUAGUUACAUACAUAACGGUACUACAAAACCGUUAAGCCGACCGUUAUCUAUGAGCAUCUUUUUAUAACGGUUGUUUUAACCGUUAUAUAUGAGCGUCUCAAGACCGUUAUGUAUUAUUUUUUAUAUUUAUUUUUAAUUUUAAUAAUAUUAUAAAAAAUUAAAAUCCUAAUUUCCUAAUACACACUAGCGAACCCACAGUCUCCUUCUUCUCUAAAGUUUGAAACGGUACCCCUCUCUCUCGCCAUUCUCUGUCGACUCCGGUGAGCGGCCGCCCUGAAUCGCAGCCUCCCUCUGGCGCGGCGAGGUCGGCCCCUAUUCUUCCUCCUCCUCUCCUUCCCUUUUGUGCCCUAUUUUUUCCCCAAGAACAAAAUCCUCAAUUUCUAGGGUUUUCAGCCUCUCUUUCCUCUCUGAAUUUCGCCCCUCCGGCGAAUCCCGCCACUACCACCGCCGCCUCGCACAGCUGCUCCCUGCCUCAGGGAGAGCUUGCACUCGCAUUUGGUGAAUUGUUGAGGAAACUAUGGUCUUCUGGUCGAACUCCAGUUGCACCUCGUGUAUUUUAGGGGAAACUUGCCCGUUUUGGUCCCCAGUUUAGUGGUUAUAAUCAGCAUGAUUCGCAGGUUAGUUUCAAUCUAAAUGUUAGAUUAAGAUAUAUUGUCAUUCAUUUAAAUAUAAGAAGAAAUAUAGAUACUAUCUAUUCUUGUGUUAGUUUAUCAGGAACAUGAAUUUCAUCAAUCAAUUAUCUGAUACUAGAAUUUGAUUAAAAGCUAAGAGCAGUCCAUUAGAGUAUGUGAUGACAUUAUUAAUAUUCUUUUUAUGCCUGACAAACUAUCGUAAACUUUCCUUCUUGACAUUAUCAUAUCCCUCCAACCGGAGUUCUUCUAACGGAGCUUUCCAACCAUCAUUGGUGCUAGUUUUGUUCUACUAUCGUAUUUGUAAUUUUGUAUUUGUAUUCGCUUUGGAAAAUAAAUACGCCUUGGUAGAGAUGGUAAGUGGAUGUCUGAGAUGGUAAAGAAAUGUACAUGCUUCGUAUAUUCUUGUUUUUGAAGCAGGUGACUAUUGAUGUAUACAUUGUAAAUUUACUGCAGUGCAGGUAUUGUUAAUAUUGUUUUUGAAGAUAGGCCUUUGACUUAUCCAGAUAGUACUUGUAUUAAUACAGUUAACUAAUUGGCAGAUGCUCUUGUGUAUUAACAUAAUCUCUCUUUCAUAGUUAAAUAUGCUUAUUUAGCUUCAUGUUUUCAGCCCAUGCAUCAAAGAAAGGAUAGUUGGCAUCAGGCUGAAGUUUGUAAGUUGGUUGAAUGUAUAAAAGGAGACAUAUGUGAUAUAAUAGGCUCACAUUGGUUACACGUUUUCCCUGUGUAGAUCUCCGGGACGACAGGGGUUAUCUUGCUGAUCAUAUAGGAGGAUCUAACAUCAUCACCACAGCCCAAGUGUGUACAUCUUUCUUUUUUGUAUUGUUGGAUUUGGUAUUUGAUUGUGUUGACAAAGGCGGGCUCAACUUGUGUUGGGCGAGGAGCUGAGGAAACAGAUUAGUGCAGCAGCUUACAUAGAAUGCAGCUCCAAGACUCAACAGAAUGUGAAAGGUGUUUUUGAUACUGCAAUCAAGGUUGUGCUUCAACCUCCACGGAGAAAGGAAGUGGCGUCGCAGAAGAAGCGAAACACUACUGGCUGCUCAAUUGUGUAUGCCUCUGGGACUACUUCAAUAAGAAGAAGCAAACUAUAUUAAUUCCAUGGAGAAGAUGGUGCUAUUCUUGUCCCUGGUGGUGUAGUUAGUAUAAAAUUGGGCGAUAUGAAGAACCUAGUGCUUAUAUGGUGGGAGAAUUGUUAGACAUAAAUGUAUGUGAUAUUUAUGAAUAUUUGGAUGACAAUGUAUGAAUAUUUUGGAUGUUA